rnacentral:rRNA from 1 species
CCGGUAAACGGCGGCCGUAACUAUAACGGUCCUAAGGUAGCGAAAUUCCUUGUCGGGUAAGUUCCGACCUGCACGAAUGGCGUAAUGAUGGCCAGGCUGUCUCCACCCGAGACUCAGUGAAAUUGAACUCGCUGUGAAGAUGCAGUGUACCCGCGGCAAGACGGAAAGACCCCGUGAACCUUUACUAUAGCUUGACACUGAACAUUGAGCCUUGAUGUGUAGGAUAGGUGGGAGGCUUUGAAGCGUGGACGCCAGUCUGCGUGGAGCCAACCUUGAAAUACCACCCUUUAAUGUUUGAUGUUCUAACGUGGACCCGUAAUCCGGGUUGCGGACAGUGUCUGGUGGGUAGUUUGACUGGGGCGGUCUCCUCCUAAAGAGUAACGGAGGAGCACGAAGGUUGGCUAAUCCUGGUCGGACAUCAGGAGGUUAGUGCAAUGGCAUAAGCCAGCUUGACUGCGAGCGUGACGGCGCGAGCAGGUGCGAAAGCAGGUCAUAGUGAUCCGGUGGUUCUGAAUGGAAGGGCCAUCGCUCAACGGAUAAAAGGUACUCCGGGGAUAACAGGCUGAUACCGCCCAAGAGUUCAUAUCGACGGCGGUGUUUGGCACCUCGAUGUCGGCUCAUCACAUCCUGGGGCUGAAGUAGGUCCCAAGGGUAUGGCUGUUCGCCAUUUAAAGUGGUACGCGAGCUGGGUUUAGAACGUCGUGAGACAGUUCGGUCCCUAUCUGCCGUGGGCGCUGGAGAACUGAGGGGGGCUGCUCCUAGUACGAGAGGACCGGAGUGGACGCAUCACUGGUGUUCGGGUUGUCAUGCCAAUGGCACUGCCCGGUAGCUAAAUGCGGAAGAGAUAAGUGCUGAAAGCAUCUAAGCACGAAACUUGCCCCGA